CUACGGGUGGCAGCAGUGGGGAAUAUUGGACAAUGGGCGAAAGCCUGAUCCAGCCAUGCCGCGUGUGUGAAGAAGGCCUUCGGGUUGUAAAGCACUUUCAGUGGGGAAGAAAGCCUUGGGGCUAAUACCCUCGAGGAAGGACAUCACCCACAGAAGAAGCACCGGCUAACUCCGUGCCAGCAGCCGCGGUAAUACGGAGGGUGCGAGCGUUAAUCGGAAUUACUGGGCGUAAAGCGCGCGUAGGCGGUCUGAUAAGCCGGUUGUGAAAGCCCCGGGCUCAACCUGGGAACGGCAUCCGGAACUGUCAGGCUAGAGUGCAGGAGAGGAAGGUAGAAUUCCCGGUGUAGCGGUGAAAUGCGUAGAGAUCGGGAGGAAUACCAGUGGCGAAGGCGGUCUUCUGGACUGACACUGACGCUGAGGUGCGAAAGCGUGGGUAGCAAACAGGAUUAGAUACCCGAGUAGUC
rnacentral:rRNA from 1 species